UCUUCAAAGAAUGAUUACCUAUGACUUUGACAUUGAUUGAGGCUGUUGCUGAGCCGAGCUUAUUCUCCAGUGUAAUGGUAUAAACUCCGGCAUCUGCAUGGACACUCUUGGGAACUUCAAGGUCCAGCAAGAUUUUCAGCCAACACACGGAAUCUGUAUUUUUUCUUAUUGGUGAGACCUUUCACUCUGAAUUAGGAACAAAGUGCAUGUGUAACAUCAUGCUGAUUGAGAAACUUACCAAACUGAUACUUGGCUGUUAUUGGAGAGGCCUGAACUGGUUCACCAACACCAUACAUGUUUUCUGCAGCAACUCUGAAGAUGUACUCUUUAUUGGGGAUUAAUUUG